rnacentral:misc_RNA from 1 species
GAUGAAGAACGUAGCGAAAUGCGAUAAGUAAUGUGAAUUGCAGAAUUCAGUGAAUCAUCGAAUCUUUGAACGCACAUUGCGCCCGCCAGUAUUCUGGCGGGCAUGCCUGUUCGAGCGUCAUUACAACCCUCAGGCCCCCGGGCCUGGCGUUGGGGAUCGGCGGAAGCCCCCUGCGGGCACAACGCCGUCCCCCAAAUACAGUGGCGGUCCCGCCGCAGCUUCCAUUGCGUAGUAGCUAACACCUCGCAACUGGAGAGCGGCGCGGCCACGCCGUAAAACACCCAACUUCUUAAUGUUGACCUCGAAUCAGGUAGGAAUACCCGCUGAACUUAAGCAUAUCAAUAAGCGGAGGA